UCAUAUUCGAUAACACGUUUACGAAUCGAUCGAAACAUCGAACCAUCGACUUUUUGAAUGAUAAUCGAUUCGAAAUUUAUCUAAAUUUUGAACAAAUUACGGAAGAAUGAAUGAGCGUUGAAUUGAAAUGUGUAUAAAUAAAAGGCGCGAGGACGUACAGGGAUUUCGUUGGCCGAGAAGUUUCCAAGAACAGCCGCGAUUGCUUCGUCGACGGCCAUUGAAUGGAGUGGUAGUAUCUCAAUCAAUGAGUAUCAAGAGACAAUGUGAAGGCUCCGGUUCUGCAACAUCGUCGUGUGCUGAUCUCAGGGCGGCAUAUCACAAUUUUUUCAAUCGAUGGUACUCGGAGAAGCGGAGAACCCUGCGUCUUUGAGUGGUUGAAGUACAGAGCUCGCCUCUCUGUAUGGCUUUGAUCUUUGUUCAUGCCUCCAUGAAAGCUGAUGCGAGAUAACAAUCAAGAUUGGCUUCAUUGUCGAUGGUACGCUUGAAUUCAUUGAUUCCUGCAAUUACUCAGUCAUUUUUAUUUACUCUUGAGGCUUUUACGAACUUGAAAAUCAUGUCUGGUUGUUCUUCACUGUUCUUAGAAUCAAUAUGCCUGCAUUUUGAAAUUCAGUUUCAAUCUCUCCUCGUUUCAUUUCACCAUUGUUAUGGAGCGUUUUGCUACUUGAGCUGUAACUCAUUUGAAGAACAUCUGAACUUUAAUUAUAAUUAACAUUCC